ACGUGAUCUGAGUUCAGACCGGAGUAAUCCAGGUCAGUUUCUAUCUAUAAAGGGCUUUUUCUAGUACGAAAGGACCGAAAAAGCACGGCCAAUAUUACAUGCAAGCCGUAACUACUAAUUUAUGUUUAACACUUAAUAAGUAAAUAGCCUCCCAAAAUGUUCAAGAAAAGAAC
rnacentral:rRNA from 1 species